rnacentral:tRNA from 2 species
GUCAAAGUAGCUCAGCUGGCUAGAGCGCUGGUCUCAUAAGCCGGAGGUCGAGAGUUCAAGUCUCUCUUUUGACA